rfam:Saccharomonospora sp. CTA-673 NODE_27_length_62102_cov_211.027_ID_55, whole genome shotgun sequence.
CUCAUGACCCCGUGAUGCUGGCGGACCCCCGACCUGGCAGCAUCACGGGGUUUCCAU